GACGAACGCUGGCGGCGUGCCUAAUACAUGCAAGUAGAACGCACAGUUUAUACCGUAGCUUGCUACACCAUAAACUGUGAGUUGCGAACGGGUGAGUAACGCGUAGGUAACCUGCCUGGUAGCGGGGGAUAACUAUUGGAAACGAUAGCUAAUACCGCAUAAUAUUGAUUAUUGCAUGAUAAUUGAUUGAAAGAUGCUAUUGCAUCACUACCAGAUGGACCUGCGUUGUAUUAGCUAGUAGGUGAGGUAACGGCUCACCUAGGCGACGAUACAUAGCCGACCUGAGAGGGUGAUCGGCCACACUGGGACUGAGACACGGCCCAGACUCCUACGGGAGGCAGCAGUAGGGAAUCUUCGGCAAUGGACGAAAGUCUGACCGAGCAACGCCGCGUGAGUGAAGAAGGUUUUCGGAUCGGAAAGCUCUGUUGUAAGAGAAGAACGGGUGUGAGAGUGGAAAGUUCACACUGUGACGGUAUCUUACCAGAAAGGGACGGCUAACUACGUG
rnacentral:rRNA from 1 species